rnacentral:rRNA from 1 species
UACGUAGGGGGCAAGCGUUGUCCGGAUUUAUUGGGCGUAAAGAGCGUGUAGGCGGCCAUACAGGUCAGCUGUGAAAACUCGAGGCUCAACCUCGAGACGUCGGUUGAAACCGUGUGGCUAGAGUCCGGGAGAGGAGAGUGGAAUUCCCGGUGUAGCGGUGAAAUGCGCAGAUAUCGGGAAGAACACCCGUGGCGAAGGCGGCGCUCUGGGACGGUACUGACGCUGAGACGCGAAAGCGUGGGGAGCGAACAGG